rnacentral:rRNA from 1 species
GUAACACAAUAGGCCCACCGGAAGGCGGGCCUGGAAAAU